rnacentral:rRNA from 1 species
GACGAACCACACGAACGUUAUUCGGAAUUACUGGGCUUAAAGGGUGCGUAGGCUGUGCAGAAAGUUAGGUGUGAAAUCCCCCGGCUCAACCGGGGAAUUGCGCUUAAAACUACUGUGCUAGAGGAAUACAGAGGUAAGCGGAACUUCGGGUGGAGCGGUGAAAUGCGUUGAUAUCCGAAGGAACACCGGUGGCGAAAGCGGCUUACUGGGUAUUUUCUGACGCUGAUGCACGAAAGCUAGGGGAGCAAACGGG